rnacentral:sRNA from 1 species
AAACCAAGGCCUCUACAGGAUCGUCACGAGGCUAAGCAAAGUAGGGAAGCAAGGAAACAUUUGAGAUUCGAAGAUGAGCCGGAUUUUUUAAAAAGAUUUUAAAAUAAUGUAUUAAAUUUUAAUUAUGUAUAUAUUUGUGUCUGCCCAUAGAAAUGUGUGAGCGCAGGUGCCCUCUGAGGUCAGAAAAGGCUGUCUGAGGCCUGGGAGCUGAGGUUACAGGUAGCUGUGAGCCACAGGGUGUGGGUGCUAGGGACCAGAGGCAGCGAUCUCUCUGUCCUCUCAUCUGCUUUUUCUGAACUUCAUUACCAACCCCUUACCCUUUCAGAACUAGGGUGACAUCCUGGCUCUGGGGUGGUUCGGGAUCCCCCACUGGCUUCCCUCAACCCCACCACCACUCGUUUGUAAAGAGCCUUUCAGGAAAACUUCCUCUUUGCCCUCUGAACAUGUGACAUCUCUUGCCAGGGCUCUGGCACUGCCCUUGUAAGUGCCGUUACAGAGCAAAGGGACUGACGGUUGUGUUUCUACUGUGUAACUAAAGCCACCUAGCCUGCUCUUCCUGGAUGGAGACCCUGUGCACCUGCGAGGGCACGCAGGAAGUUGAAAUAGAUCAUUCCUAUCCGCGGCAUCUCCACCUCUUAGGAUUUUAAAUAUUUAUUCGAGAAAGAGAAACUUGAUCUCAUCCCUAAGACUCUCCAAUCACUCGCUGCCAAGAGGAGAAAGCCGGUAGUCAGCCCAAUAAACACCGGUCUGACAAUCGCCCUAAUGUUUCAAAUCUCUGAAAGGAGCGGCGGGUGGAGGCGGGGCAGGUGAGCCGCUCUGUACCUCUGCAGUUGAGGCCUUGCCUAGCGAGCCUGGAUGUCCACAGAGCCUCGCCAAAGGCGCAGAGACACCAUCUUCACCCAUCUGCGCCUUGGUAUCUCCUCCUAGAAUGGUUCCCGCGAGAGUCCCACGAUUUCCCUGCUAGUUAAGGAAGUUUUCUGCACUGCUUGUGAUCGUGAGACUCAGGCCAACGUGGAAAAGAACAGAACCAACUGCUUUGUGUGAAGACAGGAGUGUAGUCGGUACUGGGCCUCAGAAGCUGCCUCAUCAGCUGACGGUGACCCGACCCGAGAGGGAGUGAGCGAAGGAAAAACCUACAGCAAGAGGACCUGGGGUGUGCGGUGCUGUGUGCCUGCGAUGUCCUCUAUUUACAUACAGCAGCCAUCGUUUGCUGUAAUAUAGAUCUUACACAUCCUACGAACUAAAUGCACCGGCCAAAGCCUUUUCCAUCCAGAAGCUACAAUAACUCCAUUUCCCCCCUCAUCACCAAAUGAUAUAAGCUGGUCUUCAGAAUGAAGAAAAACAGGAAUGGCUGCACCUACCCAGCAGGACUCACUUUGCCCCAACCAGGCAAACAGUUUCCCAAGAAGUCCUGCGGCUCCGGGCCUCACUGUGUCAUCUUGCACCACUCCAGCCAGAGCAAAGCCAGACAAGGUUGAUUCAAGAGGACCAUCCUCGAGCUUUUCUCAAGGUCUGUGACUGACCUCUUAUGGACAACUGUUUGCACAGCAAUACAUGCUCACAGCCACCCAAACUAGGAAUGAUAUAAUUACACCAAACACGUUUGGUUCUUAGAUCACAAAUUUCUAAUCCAUUCAUUCUACAAACAGAGGUAGUAACUAGUCUCUGAAGGUGCCCUCGCAAGAACCCUACCUCAUGGUAUAAAACCCUUUGAAGUCCUUUCUCACAGGAAAUCUAGAGGACCUUCAUGACACACACUGUACAGUAGAAUUCUGUGACAUGGCAUUCUUCCAGCUCUAAGUCCAAGCCUAAAGAAGGAGUCUAAUUUUCAGUUUCUAAAAUCUCUUAGCUAACUGAUCAGCGGCCUCUUGGCUAAGAUCGAGUGUAGACUCUCCUAGCUGACAAGGAAGAAGUCAGGCCACAGACUUAAAGAGACCACACAGAGAAGAGAUCACACAGAGAGUGACUCCUGCCCUGCAGACAAGCCCCAGAGGCGCCCUAAGUCAAGUUUCCAGGACCAACCGGAUUCCAGGUGCGGCAACCUAAAGCACCCAAAAUGAUUGGAAGACGUUUGCUGUUCGUGACGUCAUGAAGCCCUGGGGCAUUUCCCCACUCUCACGCCAGCUGCGCCGGGACUUCACUUGUCCUUGUGGGCUCAAGAGCGUCUGUGCGAAACCUGCUGGGUGUCUGUGAGUUUCCAGUUCCUAAAGUCCUCUGCUGGCUAGUGUUAUGACAACCUGACCCAGAGUCAUCUUGGAAGAGAACAUGUCCCUAUUAGAUGGGACUGUGGGCAAGUGCAUUUUCUUUAUUGGUGAUUGAUCCUGAUGGGACCAACUCAUCGUGAGCUAUUCCACUUCUGGGCUUGUGGUUCUAGAAGCUACAAGAAAGCAGGCUGGCCAGGCGGUACUGGCCCAGGUUUGGGAAGGAAAGAAGGAAGGAAGGAAAGAAAGAAGGAAGGAAAGAAAGAAGGAAAGAAGGAAAGAAGGAAGGAA